rnacentral:lncRNA from 1 species
AUAUUAGAAAAGAGUUGAUAAUUCUAAGAAAGAACCAAAAGAAACACUGUAACAGAAAUAAAGAAUGUCUUUGAUGGCUUAUUGGUAAACUGGAUGAAGUGGAGGAAAGAAUCUCUGAAUUUAAGGUCAUUUCAACAGAAAUUUCCACAAGGGAAAAGCAAACAGAAAAAAAAAAAAAGAAUUAAAAAAAAGCAGUAGAAUAUCUAAUAACUGUGGGACAACUAUAUAAGCAUAUGCAUUAAUGUAACAUAUGAAUAAUAGGAAUGCCAGAAGAAGAGAGGAAGAAGCAGAAGAAAUAUUUGAAGCAAGAAUAACUGAAAAAUUUCCCAAAUUAAUGUCAUCUACCAACUCAGAGGUCCAGGAAGCUCAGAGAACACCAAAAAAAAAAAAAAAAAACCAAAACAAAAAAACCCACCACAUGGGCGUCUUUUUCAAACUACAGAAAAUCACAAAUAAAGAAAAGAAAAAAUCCUGUAAGAAUUUGAGGGGAUAUUUAGGUUGUUUCCCUGUCUUGGCUAUUGUAAAUGUCCUUGUCUAAAGCAGAUGUGCUACAUUUAUACACUGGAACUCUAGGAGGUAAAACUCACAAAAGUGUGUCAUCCCCCCCACCUUCAGUGACUGAGCCCUGCUGUAGUUUUUGUCUCUCAGACCUGUCCAGGCUGAACCUUUGCUUUGGCAAUUCCUCAGUUACAGCUCAGGUUUUCCUAACUCGACCCUGGUUCCUGUGGACAUGUCAGUCUGUGGGUUUCUGCUUUGGUAAGUCGUGCAUCUCUGUAUCUGCCUAUCAUUCUCUCCAGAUUGGGAGGCAGCAGUUUGCUGUGAGACCUCAUUUCUCCACUGGGUCUAAGAAGAGCUGUUGAUUUUUCACUUAUUAGGCUGGAGUGGCUGCGUCCAGGAUUCUUACUAGACUUGACUGAAAGACCAGAAGUCCUCUCAGUUAUUUUAGAAACAUGAAUGUGGUAUUUUUGUGUUUGGUGUUUCCUACCAUUCCAGUGUCGUUGCAUCACAUUUAGAACUUUGGAUUUGCAUUAUUUAGUAUAGGAGGAGGAGGAGGAAGGGUAAGUUCCCUUCCCUGAAAUGACUUGGUUUUCCUUGCCUUUCAAGUGCCUCAGUUUUCAUUGACGUCUUUAGUUUCCCACUACCCUUCUCUAAUUUGGACGUAAACGCACCCCUUUUCAGUGUAUUAAAACAAAUCAAAUACUCUUUCAGUUUUAUAUCUUAGUCAUUAUUUUUUCUGAAAAUAUUCUUCCUGGAGAAUGCUGUCUUCCUUUUCUAAUUUGUACACAGUGCACAGUGACUGUCAGGGCCAGCUACAUGUUAUCCUAAUGCUGCCUGUUGACUUCAACUGGAAAAUUCUCACAACCUCUCUCAAGUGCUAGAUCACCUGUUUCGUGACUUCACAUUUUUCUUUCUUGCUUUACCUAUUGCUCUGAAGGAGCAGAUCCCACAGCAGCUUCCUGAGAAAGGGUGUGGAAGGUGACGUUUUUAUAAAUUUACAUGUCUGAAGAUGUCCUGAUAGCACUUCAGACAUAACUGGUAGUGUUGAGUGUCAGUUUCGAUGUUGAAAAUCACUUAGCCAAGUGUCUGCUGUUCCAUUGUUUCUCAGUUGAGCUGUUGAGAAGUCUGAUGCGGAUCUGAUUCCUGAUUUUAUUUUAUUUUUUUAGCAGUUCCUGAAUUUUUUGGUUUUACUAUAUUUGUUUCUUAUUUCAUAUUUGGAUGACCUUUCUUUAUCUCCAGUGAUUUUAAAUUUCAUGGCGGUGAGUUUUGAUGUGACUCUUGCUCAUUCAUUUUGUAGGGGCCCAUAGUUCCCAAAAUGGGUGGUUUUGAUCUUCUAUUACUCACAGCCAAAAAAAAAAACCACAAAUAUGCCAGAAUCAGGUAGCCUCUGGCAGAAAAAGACAAUUUCUUGUUAUCUACUGUAUUUUCACAUGGUCCACUUAGUGACUUUUUUUUCUGAUUUAAUGUGAAAAAAGUUGAUAUGUUCUCCAGCUCUACCAUUUCAAAGAUAGACCGAUAGAGAUGAAAGACACAUAUGCCAGUUAUAGCAAAGAAGCUUAAGCCACACCUACAGGUCAUUUAUCUUGACAAAAUGACGGUUCCUCUAGGCGUUAUAGCAUUCAUUUACCCUUGGUGAGUUCAUGGAUUAAGUUGAAUAAUGAGCUCCUGGACAAUGAUUAACCAAGAUUUGAUUGAAGGUCAUUGAUUCUCCUUGCCUCUAUGCAAUAUCCUGAAACAAUAGCUAUAAUUUAACUACUUAAAAAAAAAAAAGCUAGAAAGAAUAUCCCAGCAUUUCCUACUGUGGUGUCCCUGGUUGUAUGAGUAACUGUUAUUGCAUCACUUCAGGUAAAGUAUAGUGCAAGUAUACAUUUCCUAAUGGUAGCUAAUAACAAAAACAGUGAAAAAAAUGUGCAUCAUGAAUACAAAGGAAGUGAUUUAACACAUCUUGAAAAAAUAACAAAUUUAAAAGUUAUUUUAGUUCAACACUGCAGAAGAUAAGAAAGCCCUGAGAAAACUCUGAAAUAGUGUCCGAUUUACAUGAAUAAUUGAAAAACAACUGCUGCUUACAGAUCAUUGUGAAACAAAGAUAAAAGAAUUGACUUUAAAGUAUAGAUAUUGUAAUAACUUUAAAUGUCAGGAGAAACUGAUUAUAUACAUUACCGGAAUACAUAGUACUAAAUUAGACACAAAAUAAUUCUUAGAAUUUUUUAGAAGGUCUAUAAGUAGCUUUCUACUAACAGUCAAAUAAUUAUCUAAAACUUUUUAUUGUAUUUACUUAGAUACACAGAGAGAUAAAUAUGUGUACUUUAUUAUAGAAAUUAUAACAAAGGAUAGUAUUCUCACUUGUAUCUUUAGAAAUGUAUUAUAAUCCAGCUUUAUUACAGACGAUGUUUACUGAUUAAUUCUAGAGAAGUUUUGCUAUACAUUUGACUGUGUAUAAUUAAAAUAAUGCAUAUCUCACAUACAAAGUAUCAUUUUCAAAAAUAAUUCAAUGUAAUCAUAGAGGUCUAUAGAAAAAUUAGUCUAUUUUUUCCUGUCAUAGAGUUGGUUUUCUAAGAAUCUAUUCCCAUCAAAUACAGAUACUGGGAUUUUUCCAUUCCACACAACCAAUAUCCGUUUAAAUACUAUCCUCUGAGUCAGUGGGCUUGUCCGCAUCCUGGGUCUUUGAAGAAGAGAGUCUCAAUAUAGGGCAUGUAGGGCGAAGUCCAGUAUUCACUUGUGGCAAGAGAAAGCACAGCUUGUGCCGGAUUACAUGGAGAGGAAAACUUGUCUCACCGCUGCGAUGGUCUGUAGGUGCUGUCCUCUCAGGCCAGGGCACUUUAGGACGAACGUCCAAUGUCGCAAGGCAGUCUCUGGAUGUCGGAUCAGCUCCUCUUCCCAUCCCUCCUCUUCCUCUUAUCCUUUAGUCUUCCUCAGCCAGCACUGAUCAUGCUCCAUUACACUUCAUUCCUUGGACUUGCCAGACAGGAGAUGUUCAUCUCUUUACCUUGAGGAUGCAAAAUAAUCUGGAUUUUUUUCAAAUUCCUUCUCCAAAGUAUUUUUUGACAUAUCCCGUCUUCCUUCAUCGACUUCAUUUAAAAUCUUUAAAACACUUUUACUUUUUUCAAUAAAGUCUGAUAUUGCACAGUAAAACUUUUGGCUCACAAUCCAAAGGUUUUGGCAAUGAUCUUUAAGCCUGGUUACAGAGACAGUCAUUUAGGAAGGAACAUACACCAGUGGCUCCCAUCAGCCUUCACCAGAGAUUCUCAUGCAGGUAGUUUGAUUGGGGCCUGUCUUAGUCUGUUUGGGCUGCUGUAACGAUAUAGCAUAAACUAGGCAUCUUAUCAACCACAGAAAUUUAUGUUUCACAGUUCCGGAGGCGAGGGAGACCAAGACCAAAACACCAGUUGAUUCAGUGUCUUGUGAGAGCAAGCGUCCUGGUUCACAGAUGACCUCACGUGGCAGAAAGGACUGCGUAACUCUAUGGAGUUUCUCUUACUACAAGGGCACUUAUAAUCCCAACCGUAAGACUUUACCCUCAUAACCUAACCACCCCAAAGGCCCCACCUCCUAAUACGGUCACACUGGGCACUAGUUUUCAACAUAUCAUAGUGGGGGGGGGGCACAAAUAUUCCGUCUAAAGCAGGUUUUCUAUUUUUGCAUUUCCCAGUUGAGAUUCCAAUAAGCAGUUUUGAUUGAAAAGUACUUGCUUAGAGUGUAAAUUAAGAGCCCCUUUUGAAAUUCUUUAAAUUAACCUCUCUUGAGGACCUGUUGCAAAGAACAAAGUGAAAAGAACAAAUUAGAUAAUUGAUGUAAAGAGUUUAAUAGAGUGAGUUCCUGCUGAGGCUCAGCAGAAACGAACCCACCUAGUAUCCAUGAGGAUGCGGGUUCGAUCCCUAGCCUCCAUCAGUGGGUUAAGGAUCUGGCAUUGCUGUGAGCUGUGGUGUAGGUCACAGAUGUGGCUCAGAUCCCAUGUUGCUGUGGCUGUGGCAUAGGCCAGCAGCUGUAGCUC